CAGGCUUGCAUUUCAAGUAAGU
rnacentral:miRNA from 10 species